rnacentral:rRNA from 1 species
GACGAACGCUGGCGGCGUGCCUAAUACAUGCAAGUUGAGCGAUGAAGCUUGGCGCUUGCACCAAUUUGAAGAGCAGCGAACGGGUGAGUAACGCGUGGGGAAUCUGCCUUUGAGCGGGGGACAACAUUUGGAAACGAAUGCUAAUACCGCAUAACAACUUUAAACAUAAGUUUUAAGUUUGAAAGAUGCAAUUGCAUCACUCAAAGAUGAUCCCGCGUUGUAUUAGCUAGUUGGUGAGGUAAAGGCUCACCAAGGCGAUGAUACAUAGCCGACCUGAGAGGGUGAUCGGCCACAUUGGGACUGAGACACGGCCCAAACUCCUACGGGAGGCAGCAGUAGGGAAUCUUCGGCAAUGGACGAAAGUCUGACCGAGCAACGCCGCGUGAGUGAAGAAGGUUUUCGGAUCGUAAAACUCUGUUGGUAGAGAAGAACGUUGGUGAGAGUGGAAAGCUCAUCAAGUGACGGUAACUACCCAGAAAGGGACGGCUAACUACGUG